GACGAACGCUGGCGGCGUGCUUAACACAUGCAAGUCGAACGGUGAAGCGCCUUCCUUUUUGGUGGGUGUGGAUGAGUGGCGAACGGGUGAGUAACACGUGAGUAACCUGCCCCCUUCUUCUGGAUAACCGCAUGAAAGUGUGGCUAAUACGGGAUAUUCUGGGUCUGUCGCAUGAUGGGUCUGGGAAAGAUAUUGUUUCGGUGGGGGAUGGGCUCGCGGCCUAUCAGCUUGUUGGUGGGGUGAUGGCCUACCAAGGCGGUGACGGGUAGCCGGCCUGAGAGGGUGGACGGUCACACUGGGACUGAGACACGGCCCAGACUCCUACGGGAGGCAGCAGUGGGGAAUAUUGAACAAUGGGCGCAAGCCUGAUGCAGCGACGCCGCGUGAGGGAUGGAGGCCUGCGGGUUGUGAACCUCUUUCGCCAGUGAAGCAGGCCUGCCUCGUUUGUGGGUGGGUUGACGGUAGCUGGAUAAGAAGCGCCGGCUAACUACGUG
rnacentral:rRNA from 1 species